rnacentral:rRNA from 1 species
GUUAGUGGCGGACGGGUGAGUAACACGUGGGAACGUGCCUUUAGGUUCGGAAUAACUCAGGGAAACUUGUGCUAAUACCGAAUGUGCCCUUCGGGGGAAAGAUUUAUCGCCUUUAGAGCGGCCCGCGUCUGAUUAGCUAGUUGGUGAGGUAAAGGCUCACCAAGGCGACGAUCAGUAGCUGGUCUGAGAGGAUGAUCAGCCACAUUGGGACUGAGACACGGCCCAAACUCCUACGGGAGGCAGCAGUGGGGAAUCUUGCGCAAUGGGCGAAAGCCUGACGCAGCCAUGCCGCGUGAAUGAUGAAGGUCUUAGGAUUGUAAAAUUCUUUCACCGGGGACGAUAAUGACGGUACCCGGAGAAGAAGCCCCGGCUAACUUCGUGCCAGCAGCCGCGGUAAUACGAAGGGGGCUAGCGUUGCUCGGAAUUACUGGGCGUAAAGGGAGCGUAGGCGGACAUUUAAGUCAGGGGUGAAAUCCCGGGGCUCAACCUCGGAAUUGCCUUUGAUACUGGGUGUCUUGAGUAUGAGAGAGGUGUGUGGAACUCCGAGUGUAGAGGUGAAAUUCGUAGAUAUUCGGAAGAACACCAGUGGCGAAGGCGACACACUGGCUCAUUACUGACGCUGAGGCUCGAAAGCGUGGGGAGCAAACAGGAUUAGAUACCCUGGUAGUCCACGCCGUAAACGAUGAUUGCUAGUUGUCGG